rnacentral:rRNA from 1 species
GAUGAACGCUAGCGGCAGGCUUAACACAUGCAAGUCGAGGGGUAUAGUUCUUCGGAGCUAGAGACCGGCGCACGGGUGCGUAACGCGUAUGCAAUCUACCUUUUGCAGAGGGAUAGCCCAGAGAAAUUUGGAUUAAUACCUCAUAGUAUGUGAGAAUGGCAUCAUUUUCACAUUAAAGUCACAACGGCAAAAGAUGAGCAUGCGUCCCAUUAGCUUGUUGGUAAGGUAACGGCUUACCAAGGCAACGAUGGGUAGGGGUCCUGAGAGGGGGAUCCCCCACACUGGUACGGAGACACGGACCAGACUCCUACGGGAGGCAGCAGUGAGGAAUAUUGGACAAUGGGCGCAAGCCUGAUCCAGCCAUGCCGCGUGCAGGAUGACGGUCCUAUGGAUUGUAAACUGCUUUUGUACAGGAAGAAACACUGGUUCGUGAACCAGCUUGACGGUACUGUAAGAAUAAGGAUCGGCUAACUCCGUGCCAGCCGCCGCCGUAAGAC